CUCACAGCGCCAGAGAUCUGGUUCAAUUCCCGCCUCAAGCGACUGACUGUGUGGAGUUUGCACAUUCUCCCCGUGUUCCUCCAGGUAUUCUGGUUUCCUCCCCAAAAAUGUGCACGUUGAAAUUCCUGUCAGAAUUCUGCUGCCAUUUUUAUACCAGGUAAGGUUGAAUUCCUUCGGAUGAAACUCAGCCGUUUGACACUGGAGUCUUAAAAAGGUAGAUGAAGCCUUGUGGAAUGACGUGGAGACAAUCUUCAGGGGUACAGGAGCAGCUAAAUUGAAAGAAAAAGAAAAAAGAUUAGAAAAAAAAAUGCUGAUUAUCUUUAAGUAUUUUACCUUCAUAAACAGUGUUUAGUAACCACAUCAAGGCAUCUUCAUUGGAUCUUAGUUAAAUGUUAUUUUGUGAAUGGACUCACUCUUGUCUUGAAACACAGACAAUGAGUCACCCAACCAUCUCGGAUUAACUGCAGAUCCACUGAACCACCAGGCUUGCAGAAAAGACACAUUUGUGCAAAAUACAGACCGAUCGGAUGAAACAUACGGACGGCUAAGAGCUUGCUGAAAUACGCCUGCCUAAAAGAUUCUCGGUUGAGGCACUGCAUUCUAGCCUGAAAAAGAUCAAUCUGAACCAACUAGCUGAAACACGCUAGUCUAAGAAGAUCCCAUUUGGGACACUCAGUUCCCCCAAGCCAACUGCAUAUUGAUUGCCACAAGACUGAACGUAAUGCAUCGACUUAUCUGGUCCUCAUUUCUGGAAGUGCUGAAUUGUAUCCCAGGAAUAUAAAUAUCCGUUGGUACAAGAAUGGUGUUGAUGUUGACAUUGGGAUAAACACAGUUCUAAAGCUAAAUGUUUGAGUAUUCCAGUACUUUGGAAGAAAGAGAACCUGUGAAAGAUGGGACUUUCUACACCUGCACCAUUGAAAUGACCGCCACCUAUCAAUUUAUUUCAUCCAGCAACAAAGAGGGCAGAAAAUGAAAUGGUAUGUUAUGCAUCAUCAAUCUUAACACCAUCAAAGAAAAUGGUCAGAAUCCAAUAAUCAAGAGGAGUUGACUGAGAAAGAUGUUCUCAUACGAGCCAAAAUUCUGCAUAUUGGACCAAACAAAAUACACUGGAGAAACUCUACAUCUGUGGGAGAAAAUUGAAUAAACGUUUCAGUCUGACGCUGCCAGAUCUGCAAAAUUUGCCAGCAAUUCCUUUGUUAUUUCAGAUUUCUAACAUCAUGCAGUUCUUUGUUUAAUAUUAGAAUGUAGAAAAAUUAUUUCAAAGUAAGGCUUCAUCUUCACAAGCAAUUGUUAUAUUUUGGAAUGUUGUCCCUUAGAAUGUUAAAGUAGUCAUGCAAUUAAAUAGUUUAUUUGUGGCUGAGGUAGAUCUUGAAGAGAUCUGAACUCAGAUUUCUCCAGUUUCCUCAUUUCCCCUCCCCCCACCUUGUCUCAGUCCCAACCCUCAAACUCAGCACCACCUUCCUAACCUGCAAUCUUCUUCCUGACCUCUCUGCCCCCACCCCCACUCUGGCCUAUUGCCGUCACUUUAACCUCCUUCCAUCUAUCGCAUUUCCAAUGCCUUCCCCCAAGUCCCUCCUCCCUACCUUUUAUCUUAGCCUGCUUGGCACACUCUCCUCAUUCCUGAAGAAGAGCUCAUGCCUAAAACAUCGAUUCUCCUGCUCCUUGGAUACUGCCUGACACAUUUUCAGUGUAGAUCUUGAACAGUGAAGGGAAUAAGAAGUUGGAGAGGGAUGUCAAUGCAUAGUAGAAUUAUACUAAAGUGGAGUCAAGCCAAAAUGAAAGUAUCCAAAAACUUACUGAGUUGUGGUCUUGGUUCAAGGAGCCAAACUGAUCAGUUGUUUUUCAACUUGCUGUAUUCUAAUGUUCAAAACAACUGAUCAAAUUGAGAAGUGUAUUCAAGAUCACUUAGAAGGUAGAUACAUAACACAUUCCCAAGUGGUGGAGGGGGGUGGGGGAAGAGCAUAAAUAUACACUCAAUAAAUAAAAUGUCAAGCAAUAUGUAAGUGACCAAAGUACAGUUUUCGCAAUUAUUUCAACAGAAGGCAAUCCAUAUCACAUUUUAUGUUGCAGUUGGAUCUGCAGAGGAAGAAUUUACUUAAUGGAUACUGCCUUUACAACAUUUCAUGACUUUAUUUCAAAUUGCCAGCAUUCCCAUGAGUUGCAUUUUUUUUGCACUAUGCUUUUUGACAGUACUUCUUUAGUCAGCUUCUUCAUAAUGUUUUUUGUUGUCAUUCCACAUCAGGAUCAUGCUGAAAUACCCGAACAUAUCCCUAAUUAGUUGCUGGGACCACAUGCAUUUAAUGGGUAUACCGGAUAUACCAGUUAGACCAACGUGAUAGUUCUUCUAAAUACAUAUAAAUUAUCCUGGUCAUAAUGUUUCAAAUAUUUCAAAGCACACGAAAAGCAACAUAGGUUCGUUACACAUGCAAACGUGCAGCAUCACAUGAUCUUUUCAUAUUGAGAGUAGGUCAACUAGAUUAGUAGGUCAACUGAGAAUGGUGAGGUGAGAAAUUCGUAGAUCUUCUGAAUAUUGGUGAAAAAUGGAUAUUUCUUUGUUCAAAAUGACUGCCCACACUGUGCUUAAGUGUAUGGUCAUCCUAGGGGCAAUAUACAUAGGUUUGUUUCACAAUUUCUAAUUUGAAACCUUUGUGUUUAUUCCUGCUUGACUACAUUACAUCAGCAAUAGCAAGUCAGGUCUGGCAUUUUAAUUGAUGGAUUUCAUUGUUCCAUCUUUAAAAGUUUUGGUUUUGCAGGGUUCCCAGUGUUAUAGAGGCCCUGAUGCAUGACUGCGAAUUUGGGUUCAAAUAUAAGCCUCGCUUGUGUGUUCAAUCUUCUAUAAGAUGAUUCAGAUAUUGAUAUUUUCUGGUGGAGAUUGGGUAACAGUGUAUUUGUGCAUCUUACCUCCAACUCCAGGAGGCAAUAUUUUAAGAGAAAAGGUCAAGGCACCUUCAAGCUCUUUUGACAUUGGUCUUCUAGAUGCUGGUGUUUAUUAUUGUGGAGUCCAACAACAAAGAGAUAUUAUGAUUAACAGAACCGGAACAACACUUGCUGACCAUGAUGAGUAUCAUUGUAGUUGAUGGAAUUAAUGAGAAUCUUUCCAAGUUCAAUGAAUUACUAAAAAUAUUUGAUGUCAGGUUAAAGUGAUUGGUGUCUGAUUUAAGUAUGUUCAUGAAUGUUUUGAAACCUGUCCCUUUGAAUAUUCAUUACAAGAUAUAAAAAAAGUUUUCUGCGCACAAUUGAUGAUGAUCAAUCAGUAAUCAGUGUACCAAUUUAAAACCAUAUGCAUCACUGUAACUCUGACCAGGUUGUAAAGAUUACUAGAUCAUUGGAAAAUUGCGUAAAAUUAUCAAUUUGAAUCAUGUGAACCCAAUAUCACCAGUAGUCUAUAUACACAUAUAAUUUUAUAUAAAUAAGCUCUCUAUUAUGUUCUACUUUUUAUAUUGUUGGUGACAAUUCUUAAGUUUAACACUUUGAUAUUUCACAUUUACUGUA